rnacentral:tRNA from 1 species
GGACCCGUAGCUCAAUUUGGCAGAGCAUCUCACUCUGAAUGAGGUGGUUCUAGGUUCAAGUCCUAGCGGGGUCA